rnacentral:lncRNA from 1 species
AUGGAUGAUGUUCUGCAGGAAACCGAGGUUUGUGUUAAGAUUCAGCAGCCUGCAUCCUCAAUAGAACAAGAAAAAAGCCUCAGAUCCACUGUUUAUCCUUCUCAGAAAAAUGUUAGAUCACGUUCACUGGAAAAACUGCACAAAAGGCAUUUACAGAGGGAGCUUCUGAGGAUGGAAGGAAAUUCUCAUAAUGACACUACAAAGGAUGUAGUGUAAUCCUGAGGUAUGUAAGGAAUCCUAACAAUACUUUUUAAUAUAUUCAUGUACUUGUUCAAUACUCAAG